rnacentral:rRNA from 1 species
AACGAACGCUGGCGGCAUGCCUAACACAUGCAAGUCGAACGAGACCUUCGGGUCUAGUGGCGCACGGGUGCGUAACGCGUGGGAACCUGCCCUUAGGUUCGGAAUAACUCCCCGAAAGGGGUGCUAAUACCGGAUAAUGUCUUCGGACCAAAGAUUUAUCGCCUUUGGAUGGGCCAGCGUUGGAUUAGCUAGUUGGUAGGGUAAAAGCCUACCAAGGCGACGAUCCAUAGCUGGUCUGAGAGGAUGAUCAGCCACACUGGGACUGAGACACGGCCCAGACUCCUACGGGAGGCAGCAGUGGGGAAUAUUGGACAAUGGGCGAAAGCCUGAUCCAGCAAUGCCGCGUGAGUGAUGAAGGCCUUAGGGUUGUAAAGCUCUUUUAACCGGGAUGAUAAUGACAGUACCGGGAGAAUAAGCCCCGGCUAACUCCGUG